rnacentral:rRNA from 1 species
GACGAACGCUGGCGGCGUGCUUAACACAUGCAAGUCGAACGGAAAGGCCCUGCUUUUGUGGGGUGCUCGAGUGGCGAACGGGUGAGUAACACGUGAGUAACCUGCCCUUGACUUUGGGAUAACUUCAGGAAACUGGGGCUAAUACCGGAUAGGAGCUCCUGCUGCAUGGUGGGGGUUGGAAAGUUUCGGCGGUGGGGGAUGGACUCGCGGCUUAUCAGCUUGUUGGUGGGGUAGUGGCUUACCAAGGCUUUGACGGGUAGCCGGCCUGAGAGGGUGACCGGCCACAUUGGGACUGGGAUACGGCCCAGACUCCUCCGGGAGGCAGCAGUGGGGAAUAUUGCACAAUGGGCGGAAGCCUGAUGCAGCAACGCCGCGUGCGGGAUGACGGCCUUCGGGUUGUAAACCGCUUUCGCCUGUGACGAAGCGUGAGUGACGGUAAUGGGUAAAGAAGCACCGGCUAACUACGUG